rnacentral:rRNA from 1 species
GACGAACGCUGGCGGCGUGCCUAAUACAUGCAAGUGAAGUUCAGUGGCGGACGGGUGAGUAAUGUAUGGGGCCUGACCGAUAGAGGGGGAUAACUACUGGAAACGGUAGCUAAUACCGCAUACUAUCGGAUACCCCAUAUGGGAUUCGCUAGUAGGUGGGGUAAUGGCUCACCUAGGCGACGAUCCCUAGCUGGUCUGAGAGGAUGAUGAUCCACACUGGGACUGAGACACGGCCCAGACUCCUACGGAGGCAGCAGUGGGGAAUAUUGCACAAUGGGCGCAAGCCUGAUGCAGCCAUGCCGCGUGUAUGAAGAAGGCCCUAGGGUUGUAAAGUACUUUCAGUCGGGAGGCGUUACCGACAGAAGAAGCACCGGCUAACUCCGGGCCAGCAGCCGCGGUAAUAC